UUUUCCCAAAUUUGGAAGGCACGUAUUCCCCCUAAGAUUAAAAUUUUCUUGUGGCAAGCUUUCCGAGGCCGGUUGCCCUCGGCUGAUCAAAUUCGUAAGAGAAAUGGGCCGGGCUCCCAGUUCUGUGCCCUUUGCGGUGAUGUGGAAGACUCAGAUCAUAUCUUUUUUCACUGUCACCUGGCUAAGCUUAUUUGGAGUUGCGUGCGGGACUGGCUUCGUGUCUCUUGGGCCCCUGCCUCCUUUGCCGAGUUGCGCAGCUUGGCUUCCAACCUCUCCGGUGUAUCUAGGUGCAUCUUUUGGGUGGGCUUGGGGGCUAUAUGCUGGUCCCUGUGGAUAACUAGGAACAAAUUUACUAUCGAGCACGUGUUUCCGGCUAAACCGGCUGACUGUUUAUUUAAAUCGCGUGCUGUAACACCCUGGGAAUCAUGCUACAGUAACUCCCUGUGA
rnacentral:rRNA from 1 species